rnacentral:rRNA from 1 species
GGCAUUGCCCGGUAGCUAAAUGCGGAAGAGAUAAGUGCUGAAAGCAUCGAAGCACGAAACUUGCCCCGAGAUGAGUUCUCCCUGACCCUUUAAGGGUCCUGAAGGAACGUUGAAGACGACGACGUUGAUAGGCCGGGUGUGUAAGCGCAGCGAUGCGUUGAGCUAACCGGUACUAAUGAACCGUGAGGCUUAACCUUAC